rnacentral:rRNA from 1 species
GUGAGGAAUAUUGGACAAUGGGCGCAAGCCUGAUCCAGCCAUGCCGCGUGCAGGAAGACGCAUCUAUGGUGUGUAAACUGCUUUUGUACGGGAAGAAACACUCCCUCGUGAGGGAGCUUGACGGUACCGUAAGAAUAAGGAUCGGCUAACUCCGUGCCAGCAGCCGCGGUAAUACGGAGGAUCCAAGCGUUAUCCGGAAUCAUUGGGUUUAAAGGGUCCGUAGGCGGUUUAAUAAGUCAGUGGUGAAAGCCCAUCGCUCAACGAUGGAACGGCCAUUGAUACUGAUAGACUUGAAUUACAAGGAAGUAACUAGAAUAUGUAGUGUAGCGGUGAAAUGCUUAGAUAUUACAUGGAAUACCAAUUGCGAAGGCAGGUUACUACUUGUGGAUUGACGCUGAUGGACGAAAGCGUGGGGAGCGAACAGGAUUAGAAACCCUUGUAGUCC